rnacentral:rRNA from 1 species
UACGUAGGGUGCGAGCGUUGUCCGGAAUUAUUGGGCGUAAAGAGCUUGUAGGCGGUCUGUCGCGUCUGCUGUGAAAAUCCGGGGCUCAACCCCGGACUUGCAGUGGGUACGGGCAGACUAGAGUGUGGUAGGGGAGACUGGAAUUCCUGGUGUAGCGGUGAAAUGCGCAGAUAUCAGGAGGAACACCGAUGGCGAAGGCAGGUCUCUGGGCCACUACUGACGCUCAGGCACGAAAGCGUGGGGAGCAAACAGG